GGGUCAGUAGCUCAGUUGGUUAGAGCGGGGGACUCAUAAUCCCUAGGUCCGGGGUUCAAGUCCCUGCUGACCUA
rnacentral:tRNA from 1 species